CUGUCUGUAAUAUAGAGAUGGGGAGAGGUCUGUAUGUAAUAUAGAGAUGGGGAGAGGUCUGUCUGUAAUAAAGAGAUUGGGAGAGGUCUGUCUGUAAUGAAGAGAUGGGGAGAGGUCUGUCUGUAAUAUAGAGAUGGGGAGAGGUCUGUCUGUAAUGAAGAGAUGGGGAGAGGUCUGUCUGUAAUAUAGA